rnacentral:tRNA from 1 species
AGUAUAGCUCAGAGGUAGAGCACUUGCCUAGUAUGUAGGAGGCCCUGGGUUCAAUCUCUAGCACU